rnacentral:misc_RNA from 1 species
UCUCCGUUGGUGAACCAGCGGAGGGAUCAUUACAGGACUCGCAAGAUUCCUACAACCCUGUGAACUUAACUAUAAGCGCGUUGCUUCGGCGGGUGUCUCGGAGGGGGUUCUCCCUCCCCGAGACGCUAAACCCGCCGGCAGCCUACUAUACUCUGUCUCUUUGCGUUGGCAUCUCGAGUACAAUCAAACAAGUUAAAACUUUCAACAACGGAUCUCUUGGUUCUG